rnacentral:lncRNA from 1 species
GGAGGCUGCCCCCCGGGCAUCUCCCACGCCAUCCUCCUAGGAUCACCCACACAUCAGAGCUCCAAAAAGAGAGACGGGCAGCAGAGCAAUUUUGUGCACAUGCAGUGGGUCGCCUUCUAAAGCGUCUGGAUUGUGGCGGCUCAGCAUUCCGCGUCGCGCAGCUGUAAAUUAAAAGCAGCAGAAAUGUGUAUUGACUGAAACGUCUCCGAGAUUGCCUGAGAUUUCGGCGAGAGUUUUCCUCUCUUUCCCUUGCUCCUUUUCACUUGCCUUUUCUCACUUUUAAAAAAACACAGUCAUUAAAGGAGGUCCCCACGGAAAUGAAACACAGAACACUGUGUUAAGAUAUCAUAGAAGUUCUGACUUUCAAUACCCAAUUCCCCAGAAAAUUUUGAAUUAAGCCAGUUAGUUCCACAUUUACAGAAACACUGGAAAUUUUCUGGGGAAAUUAUUCAGAAUGAAAUGAGUAGCUGAUCGAGUCUGUCUCCCUGCUCCCAAUCUGCCCAAAGCUACUCUUUCGCUUAUGAAAUCUUUAUGAAUGAACACACCAAGACUACCAAGAGAGCGGGGGUGCCGGCAGCCACAGCCGGGUCUCCGGCGGGACGGGGCUGUGACACGUGCGCCGUGGGGACACUGCCGGGGUCGUGCAAGCUUCGGUCAGACUCGAGCUGCGGGACGUGCCUGGACAUUUUGGCGACGCUCAGAAGACGGAUGUGGCUCUGUGCCGUAACGAAGGACCUCGUAAAGCUCACCUCGUUAUCGCGAAAUGCAUCAGAGAAGACGGAGCCUGUCGGGCAGCGACAUGGGGAAACUGCAGGGACCUCCCAGGAUCGUUUGCCCUGAUUCUGGUUCGGAUUUUACUGGAAGAUGACAGACCGGAGGCAGAGCUCGGAUUGCAAGACCGAAGGAGGAGCUGGGGGCUAGCAGACGUGUGCGCGUCCUUAGGGUCACCAGGAACAAAGCUGAAUCCCUCGUCUUGCGUUUCCGGCUAAGCCCCGCUGUCUUCCAGGGGAUUCGAGGAUCGUUAACCACGCACGCACCUGAACGCUGACGUCACUCUCCGUAAAGGUCUGUUCUUCGGCACCCGGACCUCACACCUUGGGGAUGCUGAUCCUCGGUCCUCCGGGUCACAUCUGCAUCUGUUUCCAUCUGAGACACAGACUUGUGCGCUGCUGAAUGGACAACUACGAGGUGUUUUAUUCUGGAUAAAAAUGUGAGCAAUUCAGCAGGACAUUUUCUAGAGUCCUACUGAGGGCUCAGUCAUGUUCAUCGUGGCCCUCUUACCUCUGAAUAUAGGCGCGAACAUUUUGUGAUUCCUACCACUUUGGAACGGUGUGAGCUCCCGAUGCAAGUCGCCCAGGCUCAGCAGCUUAAAUUCAUGACGCACAGGAAGUCUGGAGGCGGGCAGCCCAGGGCUCCUCCUCGGUGCCGUCCAGGAACACACGCUCCUCCUAACCUGCUGCAGCGUCCUUAGCGAAUCAAUGUUCACCUGCGCGCUGUGCCUGACGACCACAGGCCAGCAUCACAUCCCUGUUCAGGUGAAAAGAAUUAGUCAAGAGCAAAAAGCAAAGGGGGUGGUAUCCGAGGCCACUCCUUGUCGCCUGGAAGGCCAGACAUCCUUGGUGAUAGGCCCAGCUCGUUAGCACUGGGACUCCUCCGGCAGGUCCCGGACCAACCCCCCGACAAGAGAGAUGAAACGCCAGCAAGGGGCCAAAUCAAUCAGGAUGAAGCCUCAGGCUGAGGCGGGAGGAACAUCCCCGAGACGCAUAUGUCACAACCCGGAUCUGGACAAAAUGGCAUUCUGCGGUCAGGGAAGAAGGGGACACGGGUGCUGGGGCAACAGCCCCUGUCCUCGUGUUCUCACCGGCCAUGCCAGGUGUCCCGUCCCCCUGAGUCAGCUCCAAGCCAUUGCUCCAAAGGGGACGGAGGAGACGACUCAUGUGCCGGUGGUGUGAAGAUGUGAGUGACACCAAGGAAAGGCAGGUGGCAUCGACCAGAACCUGGGUGCUGUGGGCGCUGGGAGGGGCUUCUGUGGGGCGCGUGGUGGCCGAGCAGGACCAGAAACCACGGAGGGCUCCCAUGGGGAGGCAGUACCGAGGCCAUCCUCCCGCGCUGGCCCCCUCAACCCUCGGCUGCAGUGUAGCCGGGAUGUGGGUGUGGGAGCCACAACUCGGCGGGGAGGCCCUUGCAGAGGGUGGCGCCAAGGUCGCAGGCCAAUAACUGCACAGCUCGCGGCUCAGGUGCAGCCGCCACUCGGGCCUUUGUGCACUGCCCCUCGAGGGGGCGAGGACCAGGCGCCAGUGGAGCUGCACGGCCCGGGCCUCUCCCCCAGCCCCCUGGGUCUCCUGCGGAGACUCUGCUCACAAGAUGCCUGAGCGCGAGCUGGCGAGGGAGGAGGAAUGGAACCCAAAGCCCGAAGAAUGGGGAGGAGAGGGUGAGGAGAGCGCACAGACGCUGUCUGGACGCUUUGGAUCUAAGGUCCCGGGAGGAGAGCCCCCGUUACAUCGACGUGCGGGUGGAGUUCCCGACGCCUUGGUCUUCUUGCUUCGUUCACCGCCG